CAGACCUCUAAUCGGAAAAGACUACCCGCUGAGUUNAA
rnacentral:rRNA from 1 species